rnacentral:lncRNA from 1 species
GUGAGAACUUCUAUACUAAAUGCAUAUCUUUCUGCUUUUACAAAACUACAGGUAAUGCUCCAGUAGAAAUCCACAUCUGCUCCAGAGAAAGGAAAAAAUCUACUUUAAAGACUCCCCAGAUUCUGAAUUCCAAUGAAAAUCUGGAUUCUUUAGCAUCACAGAGGCUGAAACUGUGAGCUCCAGGAAGGUUUCAAUUAUUGCAAGUAACACUCAAAUCCUCAGCUCUGACUGGCCAGACAGAACAUCACUGCUGCUGCAAUCAGCACAGUGCAGAUUAUGAGAAAGCCAAAUGUUUCAGAAGACUUUCAGGCAUCUGUGGCAGUAAUGGCUACAGUGAGUCAGCUCUGUUUGGAUGCCAACAAAACAGGAUUUAUCUACAAUAAUCUUGUCAAUGCCACAACCAGGUAACUUUAGCUUUUGCCAUUUUCUUUAGACAUAGUCAACAGCAUUUUCCCUUCUGUUUCAGGAUGAAAGCAGUUCAUGAACAAGUCAAAAUUUUUGUGGCAUUCAGCUCCAAUUAUCGGUGUAAUUUCCAAUUUAUAUGGAUAUGAACAUUGCUGGAUUCUUCUGCUUCAGAGAAAAGAUGGGGGUAGGAAAUGAGGAGCACUUCCCACUGGAGAACCAAUCAGAGAGGAAGCUCAGAAACUGAACCUGUAGCUGUAUAAUGACAAAUAAAGAUACAGUGCUGGCAAAAUACCAGCCAACAAAACUAGAAAUACAGGAAAAUGUUCCUGGGCUUAUUGGUGACCUCUGUACUGAAGUUCAGACACUGUUCAACAUUUUAAGUAAGUCCUUUCUUCUUUUGAAAAUUGCAGCUGGGAAAAUUUUUAAUGAAUAUUCACUGAAAAUCUCCUUUGGGGAAAAAAACUCUUAGCUGGUUUUUAUGCAUGCUGAUGACUGGUACAAGAAAUGCAAAUGUCAAAUGAGCUGGAUAAUCUUAUUUAUACAAGAAUGCAAACGUACAUGUAAUGGCCAAAAUGCUUUUGGUUUUUGGGACCUUUUCAGAUGUUUUAUUUUCUAAAAUAGAGGGUGUGUUGUCUCCUUGACCAUAACUCUACAAACAUCAGGAUCAAGACCAAGUACACACUUUGCCUGAAAUCUGAAGAUAGCAAACAUUUCAACUAAAAUUACUACUACUGUCAGGUGUCAGCCAGGACAUCCACCUCUGAACACAAGCAAAUUGGAUUACUCACUUGGGAUUUUUCCAGAGGUCCAUUACUUACACUCUGCAGUGCUUGGAGGAUAAAUUGGUAUUGACCAGGAG